rnacentral:lncRNA from 1 species
ACGUUAUCAACAGUACGUGGCGCUAUCACACACAUGAGAUUUCCUCCCGCUUAAUUUAUGGGGAGCUACCGUUGUACAAAACUAAGAUGACGUGUAGCAAUCUCAUGGUUGAGAUUGCACA